UGGGGAAUCUUGGACAAUGGGGGCAACCCUGAUCCAGCCAUGCCGCGUGAGUGAUGAAGGCCUUAGGGUCGUAAAGCUCUUUCGCCUGUGAAGAUAAUGACGGUAGCAGGUAAAGAAACCCCGGCUAACUCCGUGCCAGCAGCCGCGGUAAUACGGAGGGGGUUAGCGUUGUUCGGAAUUACUGGGCGUAAAGCGCACGUAGGCGGACCAGAAAGUUGGGGGUGAAAUCCCGGGGGCUCAACCCCGGAACUGCCUCCAAAACUAUUGGUCUAGAGUUCGAGAGAGGUGAGUGGAAUUCCAAGUGUAGAGGUGAAAUUCGUAGAUAUUUGGAGGAACACCAGUGGCGAAGGCGGCUCACUGGCUCGAUACUGACGCUGAGGUGCGAAAGUGUGGGGAGCAAACAGGAUUAGAUACCCUGGUAGUCCACGCCGUAAACGAUGAGUGCUAGUCGUCGGCAGGCAUGCCUGUCGGUGACGCAGCUAACGCAUUAA
rnacentral:rRNA from 1 species